CCCCCAAAUCCUAAAACUGUAUAGUAUGAUUAAAAUUGUAUAAUAAUAAUAGUACUAGGUCACACGGUGUCUUAGUGGUUAGCACGUUCGCGUUACACCUCCAGGGUCGGGGAUUCGAUUCCCACCGUGGCCCUGUGUGUGCGGAGUUUGCAUGUUCUCCCCGUGCUGCGGGGGUUUCCUCCGGGUACUCCGGUUUCCUCCCCCAGUCCAAAGACAUGCAUGGUAGGCUGAUUGGCAUGUCCAAAGUGUCCGUAGUGUAUGAAUGGGUGUGUGAGUGUGUAUGUGAUUGUGCCCUGCGAUGGAUUGGCACCCUGUCCAGGGUGUACCCCGCCUUGUGCACCAUGCUCCCUGGGAUAGACUCCAGGUUUCCCCGUGACCCUGAAAAGGAUAAAGCGGUAUAGAAAUGGAUGGAUGGAUGGAUGGAUGGAUGGGACUACUCUUUUUGCUCACGUCUGCCCUCAGAUAGACAACAUACUGUCAGCAGGCCAGUGUCUAUUAUGCUAAUACCUGGUAGGGCGUUGGGCUCAUGAAUAUUAAUCACGUUGUAUGUGUUGUCCCAAACUGAUUUGCUGAUGUCAAAACACCGAUGGUGAGCGCUAGCCAAUGGGAAAACGGCUUGCGCAUUAGUUCCAGUGACAUAUUUCCUCUUUUCGAAUCGUUUGCUGGGAGCUUCUGGCUUGUGUCGAGGUUUAAAUUAUUCCGUUCCUUUCUUUAUCCGUUAACAAUUUCGUUUUCAUUUCUUUUAGUUUCACUUUCCUUUCUGCUGUAGUUUCAUUUUUUUUUCGAAGAACGCUUUUGUUUUUGUUUUUUGACUAAAGACAGCAAGUGGAGUCCACCCGUGUCGGAUCCGUCUGAAUAAUAUCAAAAAAUCUUCGACAGAGAAACUGAAACUAUGCCACUGAAGAAGACAGUCGGAGGAAAAAUGGCUGCAAAAAAGAAAACGAAGGCUAAGACAGCUAGACCAAAAGUGGCUUCAAAAAAGAAAACGAAGGCUAAUACAGUCAGAGCAAAAUCAGCUUCGAGAAAGAAAACAAAGACUAAGCCAGAAGUGAAUCAGGGACCAAAAAAAGGAAAAAAAGUUACAGUUCAAGGAAACAAGCCUGCACCUCCCAAAAUGAAAGCAAAUCCAAACACAGGAAUGAAGUCAACAAACAACAAACCAAAAGCUGGUGCAGUGAAAAGAGUGGUGGGACCGCAGAAGAGAAAAAAUCCUAAUCCAGCAGAAGGCCAGAAUCUAGCAAAAAAGAAGAGAAAGUCUCCAGCAUGUAAUACGCAAAGCAUGUCCGUGAUGGCUCUUCCUAAAGUCCAGCGAUCAAUUGCAUCUCCUCCGACCAUUCUUCCUGUUUGUAUGAGUAACGUCACGGUUCAAACAUCUGCCAGGAGCGAUUCUUGCCAGCCUUCAGGUGGCCCAAUGAAUCGAUUUAAUAACGGUGACACGAUCAACCAAGGAGUUACUAACAAUGCUGCAGUGUGUGCACAGAGAGAUAAGAUAGACAACUCUCAAUCUGGAAGCGACAAUAUUCAAGAUGAAAACCUGUUGUUUCUAAGGAAAAACAAUGUUAAGUUAAUCGACAGGCUAAAAAAUGUCGUCGAAAUCCUUGAUCGCCUCCAAUUAACCAACGAAAAAGCAGCGAUAGUGCGAGCAGAGAAGAUCAGGAGAGGAUGAGGAAGCUUCUGGAGUUCACGACCAGCACACAUGGUGCAGAACGUCUAGUCACAGCCUUGUGGAGCUGCGCAAGCGAUGUCAUGGAAGACCUGACCAACACCAACUGAAGAUCAACGAAUAGAUUCCAGCUCUGACGCAUCACUUCGAUUUCAUCGAUGAGUGAACGUCAACGGGUCAUAUCAUUUUUCUAAUGUUUUUAUCUAAAGUUGUUUGUUGUCUUAUUUUAUUAUUAUUAUUUUAUUUUUUUAUUUUUUUACAUACAUGUAUUUUUCUAUACCCAAGAUGUGACUUCUGACAUGAAGUUAAAAAAAAAAGGGAAAUUUUUAUAUCAGGUUCUUAAAUAAUGUUUUUAAAGAAAUUGCUGACAAUCAAGCUCAAACUUUUUCCAUCUCAAGCAAAGUCUAUUUUAUGCAAAUAAUUUAAGCAGUGGGUCUUCUUAGACAUGUUACCUGUUUAGCUAAGUUCAAUUGAACUCUUUAUUAGUCGUACUCUAAUACGCUAAGUGAUGCACCUCCACCCACUUUUUAACAAAAGAUUAAAUAGUAAAGACAAUUUUUCACAGCCUUCUUUGCUCAUAUUUACCAAGUCUGCCAAUAUUAGUGGAGGCCACUGUAUGUAAAUAAAUAAAUAAAUUAAAUAAAUAAAUAAAUAAAUAAAACUAUACAAAAAUGGUGGUGUUGAAUAUCUGUCUUAGUAAAAUGUGGUUAUAACGUUAUGAUCAGCCAUCAACUGACUAUAAUAUAUCUAUAUAAUAGUCAGCUGAUGGCUGAUCAUAUUGUGUUUUAAAAACUUGUUUAGUUUGCUCUACAGUCAUGUGUGCAGCUCUACUCAUCAAAACGUUCUCCAAUUUCUACUUCUGUUAGUUGUCACUGUGCUCUCCUUAUCAACAGGUGGCAGCACUACACAACAUGAUCAUCCUCUUGAUCUUAAGUACAAAAUUAUUUGUCAUUUGUCGUGUGAAGAAACUGGAUAACAUCUAGAGCAAACCCUAUGAUGGGUAAAGCUUUAUCUUGGCCAGAAAUGUAGACAAUGAGAAACAGUUUCGUAGGUAUUAAAACAUUCAGGGGGCAUGCGUCUAUGGGUAAAUAAUCAACAACAGGGUGGUGUGUUGUACCCUGGUACCCCAGUAACAGCAUGCUCUGAAAUGUUUGUCUUCCUCUUAUAAUCCAGCAAUUUGGCAGCAUUUACAAUUUCUCAUUUAUUAAUCAUACUGUUUAUCCAUUCAUAGAUGCAUUUACAUGCAGCUGGCACUAUUUUCAGACCUGCGCUUAUAGAAAAUGAGUCAACACCUUCUGAUCAAUCAGAAUUAAGCCGUGAUGAGGUAUAAAGAAACCCUUUAGUUUUAAAUCAGGUAACAUACUUGACUGUGAGGGGAAAAAAUUGGAUGUUGCUGACAGACUCAUGAUGUCAUUCUUCACUCGCAGCCUGGGGCUCCAAAUUGGCAAAGCUACUACCUCACAAAGAUUUCUACUGAAGGUCGUGAGUUCAAAUCUCAGCUCUGCCAGGCUGCCACUGUUGGGCCCUUGAGCAAGGUGUUAACGCUCAAAUGCUCAGUUCAUCAUGAAAUGAGAUCAAUGUAAGUCGC
ensembl:lncRNA